UUAAAGCCCGAAUGCAAGCGAUCUAACUUUGAAGAGUGUUUAGUUGAGUAUACUGAAGAUUGAAAUGUAGAGGGGUACACACCUGCCAUUCAAUUGAUAGUUGGUGGUUAAAUGUCAUACGAGCUGUGUUAAUAUCUGGGUGUGUUCGAAACAUGUAAUGGUGUCUAAUAAAUGUUGUCCACAGAUUGUUGUUAAAUGAUUUAAUUGAAACCCGAAUGCCUUUCACAGAUUCUUUAAGAGAAGUAUUAUUAUUAGUCAUUUGCAAUUCGGUUAAGAUGGGUAUUCGCUUAUGUUACAAAUGGGAUUAGCCCAAAUAAAUGGUUAAAGUUUAGAAUGCUGUGUUUUCAAUCAAAUUAUCUAUGGGUUUUCAGAUACACACCUUACACAGCUCUAAAGUUGGAUUAAUAGCAUCCAUCUUUUUAAAAGUGUGUAGUAUCUUAUGAGCUCUGUUUUCCGAAUGGAUAAUCAGAUGCCUAUGUAUGUGUUUCCAAAAGACAAAUAUUGCUGAAGCUCGUUUAAGUUAAGAUAGAAUAUUGUCCACAAUAAACCAUAGCUGUGGUGUAAUUAAGCUGUGGUGUAAAAAUUGCAAUUCAAGUAAUUGUAAUUCGUGUUAACCUAAUAAUAUAUCCAAUACUUUGUUAUCGCUGUCACACACAUUGCAAGAUUCAAUUCCUCAAGCGAGAUCCUUUUAGUUGUAGCUGAAGGGUUUUAUUUUCUUAAUAAAACCUUAAUCCUAUCUCUCAUGCGUGUGGGUGGUUCAAGAUCUUUUGAUUGGUAUCGUGUGCCUUCUUUAUUUGUAACACGUGUAACACGUGUGCUCUUUAUUAUAGGCGUGUGUGGGUGAAUAUCUUUAGUAACUACAUUUAAAGGUGGUAUGUAAUUAGAUUGGCCAUUUACAAAAUAGUGUCAGGGUUGUACACGUUAAAACAGGUUGGUGGUUUAUUAACAUCGGGGGUUCAUAAUAAAGAGGCGUAAAGAAUUUUGCAAGUAAUAGGUGGAACUUAGGGAUAACA
rnacentral:rRNA from 14 species